GGACGAACGCUGGCGGCGUGCCUAACACAUGCAAGUCGAACGCGUCUGUGCUUCGGUACAGAUGAGUGGCGAACGGGUGAGUAACGCGUGAGUAACUCCCCUUGGGGAGGGGGAUAACCAUCUGAAAAGGUGGCUAAUACCCCAUAUUCUCUUUUCUCAUAAGAGGAAGGAGGAAAGGUGGCGCAAGCUGCCACCCCGAGAGAGGCUCGCGUCCCAUCAGCUAGUUGGUAGGGUAAUGGCCUACCAAGGCUAUGACGGGUAGCUGGUCUGAGAGGAUGGUCAGCCACACUGGGACUGAGACACGGCCCAGACUCCUACGGGAGGCAGCAGUGAGGAAUCUUGGGCAAUGGGCGAAAGCCUGACCCAGCGACGCCGCGUGGAGGAAGAAGGCCUUCGGGUCGUAAACUCCUGUUUGGGGAGAAGAACAAGAGAGAAGUUAAUAGCUUCUCUCUCUGACGGUAUCCCCGGAGAAAGCUCCGGCUAAUUACGUGCCAGCAGCCGCGGUAAUACGUAAGGAGCGAGCGUUGUCCGGAAUUAUUGGGCGUAAAGAGCUUGUAGGCGGUUUGUCGCGUCUGCUGUGAAAAUCCGGGGCUCAACCCCGGACUUGCAGUGGGUACGGGCAGACUAGAGUGUGGUAGGGGAGACUGGAAUUCCUGGUGUAGCGGUGAAAUGCGCAGAUAUCAGGAGGAACACCGAUGGCGAAGGCAGGUCUCUGGGCCACUACUGACGCUGAGAAGCGAAAGCGUGGGGAGCGAACAGGAUUAGAUACCCUGGUAGUCCACGCCGUAAACGUUGGGAACUAGGUGUGGGUCUCAUUCCACGAGAUCCGUGCCGCAGCUAACGCAUUAAGUUCCCCGCCUGGGGAGUACGGCCGCAAGGCUAAAACUCAAAGGAAUUGACGGGGGCCCGCACAAGCGGCGGAGCAUGUGGAUUAAUUCGAUGCAACGCGAAGAACCUUACCAAGGCUUGACAUAUACCGGAAACACCCAGAGAUGGGUGCCCCGCAAGGUCGGUAUACAGGUGGUGCAUGGUUGUCGUCAGCUCGUGUCGUGAGAUGUUGGGUUAAGUCCCGCAACGAGCGCAACCCUCGUUCUAUGUUGCCAGCGCGUAAAGGCGGGGACUCAUAGGAGACUGCCGGGGUCAACUCGGAGGAAGGUGGGGAUGACGUCAAAUCAUCAUGCCCCUUAUGUCUUGGGCUUCACACAUGCUACAAUGGCCGGUACAAAGGGCUGCGAAAUCGCGAGAUGGAGCGAAUCCCAAAAAACCGGUCUCAGUUCGGAUUGGGGUCUGCAACUCGACCCCAUGAAGUCGGAGUCGCUAGUAAUCGCAGAUCAGCAAUGCUGCGGUGAAUACGUUCCCGGGCCU
rnacentral:rRNA from 1 species